GAGAAAGAGAGAGAGAGAGAGAGAAGACGAAUGAUAAUAAUAAUAAUAAUGCGUGUACAAAACGGAAUGCAAAACUACAUACAUCCGGCAAUAAAGGCCUGCCUUGUCUCUCUCUCUCUCUCUCUCUCCCUCUC
rnacentral:miRNA from 1 species